GUGAAAUAUGACUAAGUCUGAAAUCUGUUAUUAAGUAGUUGUGUUUCCAUGUGGAUUGCAAAGUAUCUAUAGGUUCUUUGUGCUAGUGCAAAGGAGUAAUUGAUAGAGCAUGUUUCCCUCUAUUAAAUUGGGCCAAUAAUUUGCAAAAUAAGUUUCGCAUCGUAGUUAUUCUCCCUACCAAGUAUGACAUGCUCGUGUAAAUUGUUGUGUAUUCGUCUUGUGAAUUUUUGCUAAGUGUGAGAGUGUGCUUAGUUCACCAUGCCAUGUUGAGAGGAUGCUAUCAAUGAAUCUGUGCAAUAUGUGUUCCUUUUUAGUUGGUGAUAGUUGUACUACUUGUUGCACUCUAUCACCUUGCUAAAUUUCAUGCCAAGAAAGUCCCUGUAGCAUCAUGAUAACUCUGCUUGUGAAACCCUCAUAUUUUCACUAAGUCAUAAUCUGUUAUGUUUUAUGCCAUCUUGUGAGCUUGAUUGCCAUUCAUCCAUGCUACUAUCCAUGUUGAUGCUUGAAUGAGUUGCUGUACAUCAUGUUUACUUCAUAUACAUGUCUUGGUUGAGUUUGUUAGCCUGAUGUAGUUGUUAGUUUUUGUGCCUGCAAGUGGCAUGUUGCUGUUUUUGGACAGAUUCCUUGUAGAAUUGUUUUGCACUUUGUGAGAGUUGUACCCCUUUAUUUUGCAUUAUCUUUAGGUUCAUUUCACCUAGAAUUUCGUGGCCAAUCCAGUGGCAUACUUGGGAUGCCAAGGAAUUGCCUAUGUACUCUCUCAAAUUCUGUUUUAUCAUCGUUGUCGUCCGUACCUUGUCGUGAUAGUCCCGAGAGAUCCGUAACCUGGUUUGCGAUGUUCUUUAUAUGCAUUUGUAUCAUUUUCUCGUGUUGCAUUAAUUUUUUCCAUGUUCAUGCAUGUCCAAAUAAUUAAUCUUGAGUUUCUGUCCAGAAUGACAAAAAACUAAAUAAUUCCUUGAGAAAGAUGACUAGUGUAGCAUUGCCAUGUUUUGUCCACACCAUACUCAUGUAUCAUGUUGUUUGAGCGUUGUGCCUCGGUUUUGUCUUCAUUGGAUGUUUUAUUUUAUUUUGGGUAGCACCAGGUGCCGAGUACAAGUGCGAUGUUCUGUUUGAGAACGUUCCUGAAGAUCAAUAGUUAUAUUCCCGAGGUGAAGUGUGAGACAAGAUGAUUGUUGACCUGGAUAUCGUUUCUAAUUUGGUUAUGCUUAGCUGCCUCGUUUCUAUUGUUAAUUAUUUCUCCCUACCACCUGAAUGUUAAGCCUCCAAAAAUGCCCUGAUAAGCCUUUGACCCCUCCACUUCCUAGCAAAUGAUGUUCGCCUAAGUUAGCGCUUGCUCCACCGUUCUUAUAGCAUUGCUAGUUGUAGGUGUACGGUCAUCCAUCUACUGACAUGGAUAUUUGGGAUACCAUCUUAUUAUUGCUAUAGAAUUUAAUGCACAUACAUACUUGGUAAAAGGCGGAAGGCUUGGCCUUUUGCUUGGUGUUUUGUUCCGCUUUUGCCGCCCUUGUUUCGGUCACCGGUGUUAUGUUCCAUACCGAGCACUCCUAAUA
rnacentral:lncRNA from 1 species